rnacentral:tRNA from 1 species
GGAAGUGUGGCCGAGAGGCCGAAGGCGGCGGCUUGCUAAGCCGUAGUUCCGAAAGGGGCCGCAGGUUCGAAUCCUGCCACUUCCGCCA